AGUCUAACACGGGCGCUGGUAGAGACAACACACUUACUCUCACUCUCUCCCUCGCUCACUCACUCACUACUCCCUCUACUACUAAACACGCGAAUACUUACAAGAUCAUUUAAGUGACAGAUCACGUGACUCUGGCUUGAGAAAUUAAAGAAAAAAUAAAUUAAUUAAAAAAAUGAAAAAAUAUUAAUCUGAACAACAUUUAACCAAUCAAAAUAAAUAAAAAAAAAUAUCAAGAGCCAAUGAGAAGCGAGUAUUUCCGUGACGUCAUCGGUGUCCAGCCAAUCAGGAUCGCCGCUCGCUGUGACGUCACCAAUGUAAACAAAGGCAAGGAAAACGUGAUUUGAAGGAGAAAAUGAAUGAAUUUGUGAGAAAACGGUGAAUUUUUAUGAUAAACUUCGAUAAAAAAUGAAACUGAGCGAAUAAAUGUGGUAAUAAUGGUAAUUUUGAGCGAAACGUAAAGAAAACACGUGAAAUAAUAAGAAAAUACGGUAUUUAAUAGAGAAAAAGGCUUAAAUACAAAGAAAACGGUGAAUUUUUAUGACAAACUUCGAAAAAAAUGAGACUGAGCGAAUAAAUGUGGUAAUAAUAGUAAUAUUAAGCGAAACGUAAAGAAAACACGUGAAGUAAUAAGAAAAAAUAAGAUCAAGAUUAAGAUUAGGAUUAAAAUUACGA